CAAUAAAAUUGAUAUUUUAUAGGGUAUUCUUUUAUAGGACUCCUUAUGUAAGUGUGUGGAGGGAGCUGACUGGCAUUUUUGGUCUCAUUAAAUGCAAUGCUAACUAAAGGCUUCCUGUGUUCCUGAAUGCAAAUUUCUUGUUGCUCUUAUUAACUCCUAAAGGUGAUAUUUGGUGCCAAGUUAUAGUCUGGGCAUGUCUGCUUUCAUUUCAAGCCUGACUUAAGUCCUGACUUUGAGCUUCUUGAACCUGCUCCCUUUUUCUGUUGCUUUAGGUUAAGAAGCAGAUCCUGAAUGAGGAAAUCUAUUGCUCACCAGAAGCUACAGUUUUACUGGCAUCUUAUGCUGUUCAGGCCAAGUAUGGUGACUAUGACCCAAAUUUCCAUGAGCCAGGCUUUCUAGCCCAUGAUGAGCUGUUACCCAAAAGGGUGCUCAGGCAGUACCAGCUGACAGCAGAGAUGUGGGAAGAGAAGAUCACUGCAUGGUAUGCUGAGCACAGGGGUAUUGCCAGGUAGGAAACCUUUACAUGGAAACCCCAUACAUUUAUUUAUGGGAUUUGUUGUCUUCAGUGUAAUUCAGCCCAUCUGGAAAUCCAAUUAAACAAUAAAUAGGAUCUGGUAGCAUCCAAAAGCAACUUUUCCUAAUAUUUGGGUUCUGCUUUCUCUCUGUUCUGGAGGCUUCUUAGCAUUAUUUUUGUUGAAUAUUUCCCUCAAGAUUUACUGAUUUACUUUG